UUGUUUUUCACAACAGGGUUUUCUCUGUACAACCUUAGCUGUCUUGGAACUUGCUCUGUAGACCAGGUAGCUCUCAAAUCAGAACUCAAAGAUCUGCCUGCCUCUCUGCCUCUCUGCCUCUCUGCCUCUCUGCCUCUCUGCCUCUCUGCCUCUCUGCCUCUCUGCCUCUCUGCCUCUCUGCCUCUCUGCCUCUCUGCCUCUCUGCCUCUGCCUCGAGUGUUGGGAUAAAAGGCGUGUGCCACCAACGCCCUGGCACAUUUUUAUGUUUUGAUUGUUGAGCAGUUUUCUUCCUCACUGGUAAGAAACUUACCUGACUCUUGGCAGGCAGAGGAGUGCAUGUGCUGUACACACUCGGCUGUAGCGUCUGCAUGCCUGGCGCCCGCACACUAUGCCCCACUCCCCUCUAACCUCAACUUGUAGUCCAUCUGGGAGGUGCCAUGACCUCAAACAGAAAAUUCCUCCUAAGUAGUGACAGUGACUGCUUUUGCAUUCUCUUUCCCCCCGAAGGGAAAUGGCCUCCAAAUAGGCCUACUCUAGUAGGUGCAGUAGUGGGAAAAUGAAGGGCCAUGAUGCUGUUAGCUACUGGACAGAUGGUUGGAGCUGUAGAAAUGCAGAAGAGAGAGGAGAGGUGAAAUUCAGUAUUGCUAUUCUCAGGUUUGACUAAUGUUUUAAUGGAAGUGUGAUACACAUUUAAAACACAUUUUAGGUACAUGGCUUUUGAAUUAUAUGUGAAAAUAUCAGUGAACACUCCUAAGUAAAAUUUUAUUUUUAAGAUUUAUUUGUUCUUAUUUUAUGUGCAUGGGUAUUUUUAUGUAUGGAUGUUUUGCUUGCAUGUAUGCUUGUAUUACACAUGCAUUCAGAGCCUGCAAGGACCAGAAAGAACUGGCAUUAUAGUUGCGUAUAGUUGUGAGGGUUCUGGGAACUGAACCUGGGUCCUUUGGGAAAACAGUCAGUGCUCCUGACCACUGAGCCACCUCCAGCUUCCCAAGUAAAAAUUAAUAGACUAUCCAGCUUUGCCAUAAUUUUUCAUUGGAAAAUACAUUAGUAAAGUAACCACCUUUAUCAGUAGUUAUUGUCUUGGAAAGUACAUGGAUAUGUGUGUUUUCUUUUGUGUCCUUGUGCUGAAAGUUUGAAUAUUCCACAAGUAAAUACUUUCUAACUUAGUGACUGAGGGUGGAUGCCAUCACAUGGCAUACUUCUGGUUUUCUGAAGGGGCGAGUACUUCCAAAUAGUAAGCCAAUUGGAUAUGUGGACAUUGUGUAUUGGGAGAAAAUGCCUCCUGUAGUUGAUGUAAGACAGUUACUUGGACUCUUCCUAAAACUUUUGCAUAAAAACAACCAAAGAAAUCCUGUAUAGAAUGUGGGAAGGAAUAUUGACUUUAUAAAAACUGAUAUAUCAAAAUAAAGUUAAUGAAGGACGUUUGAAGUGUGUAGUUGGAGCUGGCCCUUGUGACUGCCCCAGUGAGGUUACAGAGAUGAGUAUCCUCUCCAGUCUCUUUGUCAUCUUUUGGCAACAGGUCUUGCCUUUCUCUCCUUGUGCUUACUUAGUAUAUUCUAACUUUGUAAAUUAACAUAGUAAUUAUGUGAUUCAUUUGUCAGAUUGUAUGUGUUGAUGAUUGCUUUUCUUACUGCUGCACAGUAGUCUGUUGUGGGAUAGUUAUCACACAGUUGCCAGCCACUUGCCCAGGGGCGGAAGUGUGGUUGUCACCUGUAAGCAUCUAUGUAGAAGUCACUGUGUCUGUCUUGUAGAGAUCCCUAGGAAUGGCAUGUGUAGGUAUAGACGUAUACUUAACCAUUUCAGAAAGUACAACUUGUUUUUCAGAGCGGCUGCGCCAGUGUACACUCGUUUCCACACGGUGAGCCUCAGUCAGGUGACUAUAAAGUGCUGAUGUCUAGCUUGGCAGGUGGGUAAGCUCAUUUGUCAGCUCACAAAUGACUAGCUUUAGUUGAUUAGUUCAGUCAACUAAACUAGUGUGGCCUUUUCUCUAGUGACGGGGGAUCUUUGUUGUUAACUUUUGAGACAGUGUCAUGUAGUCCAAGUCUUGGGCAGUCCUGCCUGGGCUCCACGUGCUGGGAUGACAGUCAUGUGACUAGCAACGGUGAGCGUCUUGCCCUGUGCUCACUUUGCUGCCAUUCAGACUGUCUUUACCUAAGUGCUCAUCAAAUCUUCUCUGGAGGUUCACGGUUGAGUUUUCUUAAUUUAGUUGAAAGCUGUAUUUACAUAUUCUAGAUACAUUUGUAUCUAAUCUAAAUGUAUCUCAAGUUUGUUUUGCAAAUACCAUUUCUAGUCUGUGGCUGGUAUCUUUACUAUAGUCUCUAGAAAACUUUAUUAUUAUUAUUCACUUUAAUCAUAUCUGACUUUUCUUUCAGUUUAUGGCUGUGCAGGCUUAUGUUCCUGCAUUACAGCUUCAAACCUCAGGCUCACUAACAUUUUCUCCUAGGUUGAUUUCUAGUUUUAGAAUUUUAGCUCUCACAUAAGCUUUAGUGUUGAAGUUGAUGCCUAUAAGUACUGAGCUCUGGAAAUUUCCUUGUCUAUAUGGCUAUUCAUCUUCGUAUGGUUCAUUGAAAAGAUUAUUUUCCCCUAUUGAAUUGCUACAUCUUCAUCAAAAAUCACUUGACCUCAUGAGGUGGGGUUUGUUUUCUGAAGUCUGUGUUAUCUGUUGUGUUUAUAUCAGUGUUACAACUGGUCAUAAUGACUAUGGCUUUAAGAAGCCAUGAGAAGAGUUAAGACACCCACUCUUUUUUUGACUUUUUUCAAAAUUCUUUUAGGUUCUUUACUUUCCCACAAGAUAGAAUCAUCUUUUAGAUUUCUACCCCCCAAAAAGCCCGUUAAGAUUUUGAAAAUAAAUUUUAUGUUAUUUAUUAUGUAUGUGACUAUGGAGGAGUGCGUGUGGCUCCUACAUGGAGGUCAGAGGACACCUUGUGGACAGGCCAUCAAGCCAUCAAACACCCUAAGCUCUGAGCGUCUCACUGCUUCCCAAAGCUCUGAAGUCAGUACUGCAUUUCUAGGUAACAGGUGCUCCUGGCGUUUACAUACUGGUGGGCUGCAUUUGCAUAUAGGAUUGCACAGAUGUGGCAGUGACCCCAGCUUUUCUUGUGUCUUUGGAUGAAUCAUUGAUUCAGAAAGGGGUUGGGGACUUUGUAUUCUUCUGGCUUCUAGUAGAGUUCAUUUAGAUGAUUUUUUUUUUCUUUUGAGAGAGGGUCUGGAGAGAGAGCUCAACAGUUACGAGUAGUACUGCUCUUCAAGAGGACCCAGGUUUGGUUCCCAGCACCCUGUGGUGGUUCACAGCAUCUGUAUCUGAUGUUUCCUUCUGAUCUGGAAGGAAACAAGGCAUGCACAUAGUACACACACAUAGACACACACAGGCAAAAUACUUAAGACACAAAGUACAACACUUAAAAUUAAAAAAUCAUAUUUGGAGAAAUUCAUCAUGAGUCAAAGUAGGCCUGGAGGUAGUUUGUUUGUUUUGUUUGUUUUGUUUUUCUGAGAAGGCUUUUAACUACAAACUAAUUGUAUUUGGUAUAUAUGGGACUAUUCAAAAUAACCCUUUUUUUUUUUCUGAGUAACCUUUGGCAUUUUGAGUCUUUGAAGGAAUUUGCCCAUAUUGUAACCUGAGUUGGUGACCGUAUUGACAGAAUUAUUGACAUUGCUGCUGGUCAGCCUUGUCACAAUUGUGGAAGUAUAGCUGACCCUGGCUUCCCUUCCUUCGAGCAUGGCGUGUGUCUUUUCAUUUCCACUGUCCAGUCUCCUGGAAGCUUACCCACUUUAUCACUCUUCCCAAACCAAAAGCCAUUUGUAACAUUUGCGUCUUCUGUUUUCCGCUGUUGGCUUUCUUUUUGUGAUGCUGAACAUUGAACAUUAUGGUAGGCAUAUACUGGCCUGCAACCAAGCCCAAUUGUUAUUUAUAUUAUUUCUUCUGUUUUGAGUGUAAGCUACUCUUCAUUUCUACUUCUUCAGUCAUUUGUGGAGGGGGUUAUAGGGAAAACAUGCAGGAUAUGGAUCAUCUCAUGUUUAGAAUAUAAUUUUACAUAUUGUAUCCUGUUCAUUUAUGUAACAUAGAUAUUACAGCUCUAGAACACAUGUCUAUUUAUUAUUAGAUAUUGUAUAACACAAUAAAAUCCCCCUCUAGUAGCUAAAUUGACAUAAGUGGAUCAUUUAACUGACACUUUCUGGGUUUUGUUUUGUUUUGUUUUUAAGAUGGGCUCUCUUAUGAACUCAUUGUAGAUCAGGCUGGUCUCAAACUCAAAGAGAUCCUCCUGCCUCUACCUCCCCAAGUGCUGGAGUUAGAGGCAUGUGCCAUCAUGUCUGACUUUAACUGACAUUUUAAAGAUAGCUGUAAUACCACUAUUCUUACAUAUAUGUCAAAAGCUUAUUAUUUUUAACUUUUUAUAAAACUAUUUAUUUAUUACUAUAUCUAAGUACACUGUAGCUGUCUUCAGACACACCAGAAGAGGGUGUCAGAUCUCAUUAUGGAUGGUUGUGAGCCACCAUGUGGUUGCUGGGAUUUGAACUCAGGACCUUCGGAAGAACAGUCAGUGCUUUAACCAUUGAGCCAUCUCUCCAGCCCCUAUUUUUAAUUUUUUAUUGUGAAUUUCCCAUCAAGCACCUUAAUCCCACUCAUCUCCCUGCCCCUCCAUAUCCACCUUCCACCCUUGCAAUUUCCUCCC
rnacentral:lncRNA from 1 species